GAGACAGCAGUCGCCGCGGUAAUACGAAGGGUGCAAGCGUUACUCGGAAUUACUGGGCGUAAAGCGUGCGUAGGUGGUGGUUUAAGUCCGUUGUGAAAGCCCUGGGCUCAACCUGGGAAUUGCAGUGGAUACUGGGUCACUAGAGUGUGGUAGAGGAUAGUGGAAUUUCCGGUGUAGCAGUGAAAUGCGUAGAGAUCGGAAGGAACAUCUGUGACGAAGGCGACUAUCUGGGCCAACACUGACACUGAGGCACGAAAGCGUGGGGAGCAAACAGGAUUAGAUACCCCAGUAGUCCCUGUCUCUUAUAC
rnacentral:rRNA from 1 species